GGCAUGAAAAUGUCGGGCCUGACGAACCCGCGCACCCGAGUCCCCCAGUUGGGGAAGGGAUCCUUGCAUCCCACCCUCCUGCAGGAA
rfam:Aedes flavivirus genomic RNA, complete genome, strain: Narita-21